rnacentral:rRNA from 1 species
GACGAACGCUGGCGGCGUGCUUAACACAUGCAAGUCGAACGGAAAGGCCCUGCUUUUGUGGGGUGCUCGAGUGGCGAACGGGUGAGUAACACGUGAGUAACCUGCCCUUGACUUUGGGAUAACUUCAGGAAACUGGGGCUAAUACCGGAUAGGAGCUCCUGCUGCAUGGUGGGGGUUGGAAAGUUUCGGCGGUUGGGGAUGGACUCGCGGCUUAUCAGCUUGUUGGUGGGGUAGUGGCUUACCAAAGCUUUGACGGGUAGCCGGCCUGGGAGGGGGACCGGCCACAUUGGGACUGGGAUACGGCCCAGACUCCUACGGGAGGCAGCGGUGGGGAAUAUUGCACAAUGGGCGGAAGCCUGAUGCAGCAACGCCGCGUGCGGGAUGACGGCCUUCUGGUUGUGAACCGCUUUCGCCUGUGACGAGGCGUGAGUGACGGUAAUGGGUAAAGAAGCACCGGCUAACUACGUG